AAAAAGAAUUUGUUUGGACAGGGAAUUUGCGUAUUGGCAGAUGAACAUAUUUGCUUUCAUUCUGCUAAGUUGUUUCAUUUUCAAGCUGAACAACUAAAACAAAACUGCAAGGUUUGAAAUGAUGCUUAAUCUUCACGUUGACAAAAGGUUACUACUUAUAAAGACUUGUCACUAAUAAGGUUUUGUUGCUAAUGAAGAAGACUCACCAAAGAACCACUAGACGAUGAUGAAGAAGACCCAAUACUGAGCUGGAGCCUAGCAUCUAGUGGUUCUUCAUUAAGAUCCAAGUCCAACCUAGCCAUUUGCUAGUUACUCAGGGGUGGCAAGGCACCGGGUGAUAUUAAUCUAAACAAUGAAAGAGAAGAUGUUUUUAAACAGUGAAGAUGUUUCAUUUGCUAGUGGUUCUUCAUUAAGAUCAGAGUGUUGAUUGAUUAGUCCUUUCCGCAACAAGGUUUAUACAUCUGACCCAGCCAAUGUUUAAGACCCAUGACAAAAGUUAUGUUAAGUUGAAGAAAGAAGACAUUCUAUCAGGGUUUCUGCAAAUCAACAAGACACAUCCAACAUACUAAGAGAGACAUAAUCCGAAUUCACUUAUUUCGAGCCCGGAUUUUGACUCUGAUGACAACAUGUGCGGGGUUGUUACUCUUGCUUUGGGCUUGUGUUGGGCCUUCAACUGUCAUGUUGCGACAGGUCAUGAAGUACCAGAAGAGAGCACUGA